rnacentral:misc_RNA from 1 species
AUUUGCAAGAAGAGCAACAGCCUUAUCAACCAUUACAUUUGAAGGGUCCAACAACCUAAUGAGAUGCUUCACGGCUCCAACCUGAAUGAUGCGAGCUUUAUUUUCAUGAAAUAUUGACAGAUUAAAUAAUGCUGUAGCAGCGUCUUUUUUCCCUCUGAUGGUACCUAAACCAAGAAGAUCAACCAACGCUUUCACUGCUCCAGAACGCCCAAUCUUUUUUCUGUACUCUUCCAAAAGAGACAGACUGAAAAGAGCUGCAGCAGCAUUCUCUUUUGCGCCAGCAUUUCCUGUUCUCAGGACAUGGAUGAGGGGUUCAAGCGCCCCUUGCUCCGCAAUCAUGGCCUUGAUGUCUUCAUUUAUUGAUAAGUUUAGCAAUGCUGUCACAGCAUGCUCUUGAGUUGGUUUCACAUCAGAGUUUAGCAAGGAGAUAAGUGGAGCAAUAGCCCCACAGCGGCCUAUAAUAGCUCGGUUUUCCAUGUUGUGCUUUGCAAGAAAUCGGAAUUCUGCUGCAGCUGCCAUUUGCACCUCAGUUGAUUGACUUUCCAAGUCUCUAAUAAGCUUUUCAACAUGGGAACUCGUAGUCAGAUCAUCAGAUGCCGACUUUGUUGGUAAGGAAAGUUG